GGACUACUGGGGUAUCUAAUCCCGUUUGCUCCCCUGGCUUUCGCGCCUCAGCGUCAGAAGAGGUCCAGUUGUGCGCUUUCGCCACCGGCGUUCCUUCCGAUAUCAACGCAUUUCACCGCUCCACCGGAAGUUCCCACAACCCCUACCUCACUCGAGUCCGCCAGUAUCAAAGGCACUUCUCCAGUUAAGCUGGAGGCUUUCACCCCUGACUUGGCAGACCGCCUACGCGCCCUUUAAGCCCAGUGAUUCCGAACAACGUUCGCACGGUUCGUCUUACCGCGGCUGCUGGCAC
rnacentral:rRNA from 1 species